CUUUGCUCUCGCUCCGCCUCCAGCCCUGCCCUCCACCCCAACCCAAGAUGGCGGAGAUCCCCUUGUACUUUGUGGACUUGAAGGAUGACUUAGAAGACUAGUUAUAGUGACAGGAUGACAUGUUGAA